UCUUAGACAAUGGGCGCAAGCCUGAUCUAGCCAUGCCGCGCGAGCGAUGAAGGCCUUAGGGUUGUAAAGCUCUUUCAGGGGGGAAGAUAAUGACUGUACCCCCAGAAGAAGCUCCGGCUAACUCCGUGCCAGCAGCCGCGGUAAUACGGAGGGGGCUAGCGUUGUUCGGAAUUACUGGGCGUAAAGCGCACGUAGGCGGACGGAGAAGUCAGAGGUGAAAUCCCAGGGCUCAACCUUGGAACUGCCUUUGAAACUUUCUGUCUUGAGUCCGGGAGAGGUGAGUGGAACUGCGAGUGUAGAGGUGAAAUUCGUAGAUAUUCGCAAGAACACCUGUGGCGAAGGCGGCUCACGGCCCGGUACUGACGCUGAGGUGCGAAA
rnacentral:rRNA from 1 species